rnacentral:sRNA from 1 species
UGAUUGCUUCGACCUUGCUACCCAGUGGU